rnacentral:lncRNA from 1 species
CCAUUGCGGGUUUGGUAAUUGUUAAAACCCGCUGCGGGUGGGUUUUUGUACAAAAAUUAAAACCCGCUGCGGGUUGCGGGUGAGUUUGGUAAUUUAAAUUUUGUGCGGGUUUGGGUUUGGUAAUGGCAAACCCGCUGCGGGCGGUGCCCAUUGCCAUCCCUAAUUACCACCAUUUGAGAUAAAACUCAGCCACCACUGUCGGUGAAGAGCGUACCAGGUAUAAUAGUUCGUGCUACUAUUUCAUCUUUCUUUCUAUUAUUAUUCAAUAUAUCCUCUUUGGUAAUUUAAUUAGACAAAAGUAUUUUUAGUUUUGUAGAAUCAAAUAGUCUAAUGGUUCAAAAAAUAUUUUUAAUUGACAACCAAACACUCAAUAACUUUUUAUCAAAAAUUCUAUUGAUAUAAGCUCCACUAGAAUAACAUAUACUCUUAUGAGCUCUAUUCAAUAAGUUGUACUAAAUAGAGUCUAAAUAAACAUUCAUAACCUUUAGAUAAAUCAUACCAAACACGCACAAAAACACAAAUGUGGACAGCGCUUAUAAACAGAAAACACGUACACUUUCUCACAGGUUGCUCAAUAAUAGUUGAUUUAUUGGUUGGUUCAGUAGCUUUAACAAUUUCUACAAGGUGGGCUUUUUCACGGGAUGGUGACGAGCAAUUUGGUUUUGGAUUUCAAGCUAGGUGGGGUGUAUCAGAAGUGCUGGUGAUUUAUAAAUAGAAAGAGAAAUUUUUUAUGAACAGUUUGUGAAGUUCAAUCUGGACCAAUCUGAACCGAUCGAACUAUAGAAUCCAUCCAAACCAAAUCGAAAUAUUUUGGUUUGGUUCCAAAGUUUGAUUGGCAUUGAUUUCUAAUAUUAAAGAAUUGAUCGGUUUUGGUUCGGUUCGCUUCUUAGCCUGAACUUAACCGAAUAGUACCCACUUACAAGUUAAAAAAAAAAAAAAGAGGUAUUAAUUUAAUUUAAUAUACUUCAUUUUUUUUUUGGAGUUAUUUGUGGUAUAACACUGCGAUUUCACCUAAAUCAUAUGUAUAUUUCGUCAUUGAUGACAAAUAUUUUUCAAAUCUGUUCUCUACAGAUUGAAAAAAAAAAAGAAUGGCUUUGAAACAAUUUCGUAUUCAUUCAAAAUAUGCUAGUUAGAGAAGUAGUUUGGGAGCAAAAUCUGCACGCUAGCUUUGUAUUGGAGUGGGUCAAAGUAACAAUAAGUUGCCAAAUUUUCCUUGUUUUUAGCAGGUCAAAAGAAACAAAAAUAGAAUUUGAUGCAAGGAGGAGGCUAGCUACAUAUUUUAAAU